rnacentral:rRNA from 1 species
UACGAACCGUGCGAACGUUGUUCGGAUUCACUGGGCUUAAAGGGCGCGUAGGCGGGCGAUCAAGUCAGGGGUGAAAUCUUUCGGCUCAACCGGAAAAGGGCCUUUGAUACUGGUCGCCUCGAGGGAGGUAGGGGCAUGCGGAACUUCCGGUGGAGCGGUGAAAUGCGUAGAUAUCGGAAGGAACGCCGGUGGCGAAAGCGGCGUGCUGGACCUCUUCUGACGCUGAGGCGCGAAAGCCAGGGGAGCGAACGGG